UAGAUCACAAUCUGUGAGAAACAUCUGC
rnacentral:sRNA from 1 species